GUAGUGGUCCGCGCCCCAUAGCCGCGACAACUUUACUAUUUUGAGUUCUAAUAUUUGCAGCGCAUCCAUUUUAUCUCGCGCGAAAAAGCUCAGCAAGUGAAUUCAAUUUUUACACAUUUUCAAUAAUUGUAUUGACCGUCCGAAAUAUUAUUAUCAAUUUUUCAGUGUUUUUACUAUUUAUUAUUAUGAAUUUAAUAUCAUUUUAAUUAUUAAAAUUUUUUAAUUAAUCGUGCACAUGAAAACCAAAAAUUAUACUUAACAUUAUUAGUAGCAGUGGAAUGUUUCAAUAAAAAUUCUAAACUUUGGAUAAAAAAGUGGAUACAACUCCGAGCUUGCAAAGAACGUUGACUGUUGAAUGAUAAAAGGAGAGGCUGGACACACUCAUGCUCUAGUAAAAGCUUUUUUGAACGGUGGUUGAGAGGUUUCAGCCGCACAAUGUGGAGUCUAAUCGUUGGGGCAAUUUUGCUGGUAAUAAGUGCCACGGUAAACGCUAAAGUUGCCGUUUUGCCUCACGAUGUUUAUCCAGGAUUCCAAGUUAUGCACUUUCAAGGUUCUAAAAGACAUGCAUCGAACUACCGUCUUCUUGAGACGGGCUACUCCAAGUAUUUUACAGUUUUGGAAGAUGGAAUGAUGAUAACCACGUCAGAUUUAACCCCUUUAGUCAAUCGAUCUGUAAACUUAAUCGUCUUGGAACAUUUACUAAAUGGAACUCAAACUCAUGAUGUUCAUAUUUUUGUAAUAAAUCGUGGCAAUAUGCUAACAUUUUCUACUGAAGAGCUCGGGCAUGGUAAAGUAAGGGAAAAUUCACAGCCGGGUACAGUAGUGGAUGGUUUCCCACUUCUUCAUGCAGAUGGUAAUUUUCCUGUGCAUUAUGUCAUACAAUCAGAUGAUUAUGCUUUUGCUCUUAUGGAAACAACUGGUGCUACCAUUGGAUACAACCUCACACUAAAAGAUCCCAAUCAAAAAGUUCAAGUUGUAACAGCUAAAACGAUAGAUAGAGAGCUAAAACACACGUAUAAAGUUAAUAUUAAUGCCUAUGAUGGAUCUUUUAUCAGUACAGCGAAAAUUAAUGGAGUCGUUACCAUCAUAGAUGAAAAUGAUAACAGUCCAUUGUUCGAUAAAGAAGAGUAUAUCUUUGAAGUAAGACCUACAAACAUUAAGACAUUAGAGAAAGAUGGAGUUCCUAAAUGGCGAAGGUUUGAAACAGUUGGAAAAGUAUCUGCGAAGGAUGCUGACGGUGAUAAAGUUGCUUACAAACUGAUUACACCCACGAACUUACUUAUUAUUAUUCCACAAACUGGAGAACUUGUUCUAGUUGAUGAGCCGGAGGCUACCAUUGAUAAAGACAGUGAGGUUGAGGUCAUGAUUGAAGCACAUGACAUUCGGACACCAAGUAAAGGAACGUUGAGACCUGCCAGAGUCGUUGUCAGAUUCCUUACGACAGAUUUUUAUGAAAUGGUAGAGGAAAAUGACCUGGAUAUGGAAGAAGAAGUGCCGCAAGUUCAUCACAUUCAGAAAAGAAGAGUUACCAGAGCGGUUAGACCAACUAAAAAAGUUGAAUUUUGGGAGUCUGAAGGUGAUGUUAAAGGUAAAACGGUAUUUUCUUUGGAGAAAGAAACGGAAAAAGAGACCUACAAGAUUAGGGAUGAAAACAGAUGGGUUACUGUUGAGGAAAAUGGAGCUGUUAAAGUAAAAGAAAAAUGGGAUUAUGAGGCGCUUGGUCUUGAAAAAACUAUUGAUUUUUGGGUGACUAUCAAUAAUGCAAAACUCCAAUAUACGGACAAUCAGCGUGUAAUAAUAAAUCUUAAGGAUGUCAAUGAUGAGCCACCAUAUUUUAUUAAUAAACCUCUUCCUAUGCAAGCAGUGGUGCAACUAAAUGCGCCCCCUAAUACUCAUGUAUUUACUCUUCAAGCCCGAGAUCCUGAUACUGAUCAUAAUAUCCAUUACUUCAUUGUACGAGAUCGAACUGGUGGCCGGUUUGAGGUCGACGAACGUUCAGGUGUUGUGCGUACCAGGGGAGCAGAUGUUUUUCAAUUAGACAUGGAGUACGUACUGUAUGUAAAAGCUGAAGAUCAAAAUGGUCGAAUUGAUGAAAAACACUAUCAAUCUACUCCUGAAGAGCGACUAUCAAUUGUUGGUGGAAAAAGAGCGCCACAAUUCUACCUCACAAACUAUGAAACUGAAAUUCCAGAAAACCAGAAAAAAGAUACAGACAUCAUAUCUGUAAAAGCCAAAUCUUUUGCUGAUCGUGAAAUCCGGUAUACAUUGAAAGCCCAAAGUCAAGGAGCCGCUGGUACCUUUAAUAUUGGCCCAACAUCAGGAAUUGUUAAGCUUGCUAAAGAAUUAGAUUUUGAAGAUGUCAGACAGCCUCAUGUUUACACGCUUGUUGUUACGGCGACUGAAGAUUCUGGCGGGUUUUCAACUUCUGUCGAGCUGACAAUUAGAGUAACAGAUGUCAAUGAUAAUGCACCAAAGUUUGAACUACCUGACUAUCAAGCUCAUAAUGUCGAUGAAGACAUUCCACUUGGUACUAGUAUUCUCAAAGUAAAAGCCACAGAUGCAGAUUCCGGAGCAAAUGCAGACAUUGAAUAUCAUGUAUCAGACGAUCAUUUUAGCGUGGAUUCCAGUGGUCUUAUUGUUAAUAAUAAACAAUUAGAUGCAGAUAAUAACAAUGCUUAUUAUGAAUUUGUUGUUGAGGCUAAAGAUAAGGGUGUUCCAUCAAAAGCUGGUACAGCUACUGUAAGAAUUUAUACAAAAAAUAAGAACGAUGAAGAGCCAAAGUUUUCACAACAAGUAUACACGCCAAAUGUGGACGAGAACGCCGGGCCUAACACCUUGGUGACGACCGUUGUCGCGUCAGAUAAAGACGGUGAUAACGUACGCUUCGGUUUUGUUGGAGGCACCACCUCAUCCGGGCAGUUCGUCAUCGAGGAGAUAACCGGCGUUAUUCGUCUGCAAGGCGAUAAAAUUUCUCUUGAACGUGACAAAUACGAACUUAAUGUUACUGCAAUGGAUGAUGGAGCUUGUUGUCCUGAUGGAAAGAAUAACAUUCACACAAGUACAGCUGUUGUCGUUGUAUUUAUCACCGAUGUCAACGAUAAUAAACCAGUUUUUAAGGAUUGUGGCAGUUAUUCACCGAAAGUUGAAGAAGGUGCGCCAAAUGGUAGUCCAGUAAUUAAAGUUCAAGCGACUGAUGAAGAUAAAGGAGUUAAUGGUCAAGUCAAGUAUUCCAUAGUUCAACAACCCAAUCAAAAGGCCAAUAAGUUUACUGUUGAUGAAGAAACUGGUCAAGUCUCUACGAACAAAGUAUUUGAUCGUGAAGGUGAUGAUGGAAAAUUCGUAUCAGUAACUGUUAAAGCAACGGAUCAGGGUGAACCCUCUUUGGAAGGCGUGUGCUCCUUUACAGUUGAGAUAACAGAUGUUAAUGAUAAUCCGCCUCUUUUUGACCGACAGAAAUACGUCGAGAAUGUAAAGCAAGAUGCCAGCAUAGGUACUAAUAUUUUGAGAGUAUCAGCAUCUGAUGAAGACGCUGAUAACAACGGUGCAAUAGUUUAUUCUCUGUCGUCACCAAAUAAUGGACAAGAUUUGGAGUAUUUUGAAAUCCAGUCAGAAUCUGGUUGGAUUGUAUUAAAAAAGGCACUAGACCGAGACAGGUAUCGCCUGAAGGUGCGGGCUUCUGACAAAGGGACAUCAGUCUUGUACGCAGACGUGGACGUUGAAUUAGACGUCGUAGACAGAAACAAUAAACCUCCUCUGUGGGAUCAGAAUGUAUACGGCCCCAUUCACAUCAAAGAAAAUGUCACAGUGGGUACUGUAGUGACGUCGGUGAAAGCCAGCGCGAGACAUACAAGCUGGAGGCGAUGGCACAAGACAAGGGCUAUCCGCCCUUGUCGCGAACCGUGGAGGUUCAGAUUGACGUUGUGGACCGUGCAAAUAAUCCGCCCGUAUGGGACCACGUAGCAUAUGGCCCAAUCUACUGUAAAGAGAACACGGCCGUUGGGGCUAAAGUUGUGUCUGUUAAAGCCAGCUCUGGGAUAGAACAUAAUCCCACGGUCUUUUACCACUUAAUGCCUGGAUCCACUGCUCAAACAAACAAGUAUCAUACAUUUUAUCUUCAACAACGCUCUGAAACAUCAUUUAAGGACAACGUCACUUGGGC
rnacentral:misc_RNA from 1 species